GACAGAGGGUGCAAACGUUGCUCGGAAUUACUGGGCGUAAAGCGCGUGUAGGCGGAUCGGCAAGUCGGGCGUGAAAUCCCUGGGCUCAACCUAGGAACUGCACCCGAAACUGCCGACCUUGAGUGAUGGAGAGGAUAGUGGAAUUCUCGGUGUAGAGGUGAAAUUCGUAGAUAUCGAGAGGAACACCAGUGGCGAAGGCGGCUAUCUGGACAUUUUCUGACGCUGAGACGCGAAAGCGUGGGGAGCAAACAGG
rnacentral:rRNA from 1 species